UUUAUCCAUUCCCCAUUUUCGCGGUUCAAAUUUCUUAGUUUCAAGAGAUUACAUGCCGUAGGCAAAAUAAAGUGAAAUAUAAAUUCUGGAAUAGCUUCAUUGCUUUUCGUUCUGUUCAAACUUUUAAAACGGAAAAGUUUUGUGUAUCCUUUGUUUUCCAUUGGAAAUUUAAAUGAUUGGAUAACAUUUAUUCUAAUUUUGUGGCGUUGCCAUUUCCUAAAGUUUGUUUCAACUUUUAAGCAAUCGAAUAUAUAAACAUUUCAUUUAGCACUAAUAAUAUUUCAUUUCAUUUAAAGCUAAAGAAUAAAGUGAGAGCAUUGAAAUUGAAUUACUAAUAAAAAUUAAGUUUUUCAGUUUUCACGAUCGAAUUUUUUAGCAAGUAGUAGGCAACGUCUCACCUCAUGUGAAAGACAUGUCUAGACGUAUCCGGGUAUCCGCGGUUAAUUAGAAUAUUAGAUUCAAAUGUGAAAUGGUCGCCGAACUAGUAGGUUUUGCCGAGAUUCCAGGAUGUUAUUGAUUUCCAUAAACUGGAGAAAUGCUAUCAUCAAAUAUUCUGGGAAAACGAAUCUACCUUCAGGACGAUGUGGACCAGAUGUCACACAACUGGAACUUCUCCAAAACCUAGCACAACUUACGCUCCUUUACGAAGAAACAAAUUUCUCCGAGUUGUGGAAAAAUACGAUGGAAUUUGACGGUCGAGUUAUACCUACUAGUUCUGCCAGAAAAAAUAGUAUUGGAUCGAUAAAGAAGACAUUCAUCCGAGCCCAAUAGAAACCUGCUCUCGUUUGUGUCGACCACUGAUAAUGUGGACAAAAGGUUUAGAUCCUUAAGCAUUAUGGUUGUCGAUAUUAGCUUGGAAUCUACGUUUUUCACUUGGUCGGUUAUCUGGCUAAAAAGGACUUGUUCCACCAAAAACGAACCGGUUUCUAACUAGCGGUUAACUUUAUUUGGGCAAAAAUCGGAAAGGAUGACCGUUUCUUUCUGGAACACUUUGAACUGAUUUGAUACUGGUUGUUCGUUUUCGGGAACCUUUCUUCUAGUGGCAAGCCAGACUACUUUAUGCCAGAGAGGCAUGUACGAAUGGCGUUGAAAAUUGUGGCUUUUUGCAAAUGAUGUUGCAAAGUAGUUCUGUAAGACAAGCUCAUACGAACAGACUCGCGUUAAUGGAGCCCUGCGGGUUCCAUUGUUGUCUGGCAGAAGCUGCGAAAUCAAUAAUUCUCCAAAUCAAACCUAAUAAGCUGUCGGUUGCACAGGUGUUUUGUCGUCUUUUAAAGGUAGCCGUGAGCCGCUUUUCCAGGUUCGGCGGAUUGAAAGAAAAAGGUAUAAAUCCAUAUGGUUUUCCUAUCUGAAAUGUUUGUACUUUCUGUUGAUACCGCCUCCUAUGGACCGUGAAAACCUUCGUGGACUACUGGGUGGGAUGCACGGGCAGAGAAAACUGGCAACAACCGCAAAGAAAGUGAAGUAGAUGCACAGUGCAGUUCAGUAUACUGUUGUCUAUACAGAAGGAACCCAAAACGUUGCCGAAACACUGUACAAAUAAGAACAUGGAUGACGAAUGCUUCACUUCGUAAUUCUUAAAGGUAUCGUCGUUCGAAUGGAAGACUUUACUCAGAAAUGGGUGCUUCUUGAAAAUGUCACCAGGAAACAAUUUCCUUGGUGUAGUUUCGUCCGUCUUUUCGCUGACGUCCAGUAUCAAACCCAUUGUGUGCCCAAUCUAUCGUCAUUGAUGGAUGACCACGAAUCAACGGCCUUUUAAUCAAACAAUGGGUGGACCUUUCCGGUUGCGGAAUGAAAUUGAAAUAACGGACCGUAUGGUGGCAACGAAAGUAAAUGUAGGCACAGAUGCACUAAAAACGUUGACUUGAAAGUCUACAGUCACAAUUUCUGUGUCCUUUCCUGCAUCACGUGAUCCAUCAUCAUAUAAUCCAACAAGUGUCAUAAUAUUUCAAAAAAUAAAGUGCCAAGAAGAUUUCCUCCAACGAGAUCCCGACGUGCCUUGCUGGA
rnacentral:lncRNA from 1 species